GUGAGUGUGGAUCCUGGAGGAAU
rnacentral:miRNA from 1 species